AGCCUCCUCUGCAGGAAGAUGUGCUGUUGGGCCUAUGCAGCACAGUGGAGGAGCUGGAGGAGCUAGACAGGAGUCUGGCUCAACCAGAAAGAAGGAACCAAAUGAAACGUUUCCUUGAAAGCCUGGGAGGGGCGAAUCCGGGGGCAGCCAUUCGUCGCAUUCUACGCCAGGUGGCUACCAACAAUGUCCUGGCGCAGUACAGCCUGAGGGGGAGGAGAGCAAAAAAGCCUUUCCAGAACUUAACCCUUUGCAAAAUUAUAACGGAGGCCUGCAUGCAGAACUUCCCUGGCAAGAAGGUAGCUAAUAUUGAG